AGUCGAACGAACUCUGGUAUUGAUUGGUGCUUGCAUCAUGAUUUACAUUUGAGUGAGUGGCGAACUGGUGAGUAACACGUGGGAAACCUGCCCAGAAGCGGGGGAUAACACCUGGAAACAGAUGCUAAUACCGCAUAACAACUUGGACCGCAUGGUCCGAGUUUGAAAGAUGGCUUCGGCUAUCACUUUUGGAUGGUCCCGCGGCGUAUUAGCUAGAUGGUGAGGUAACGGCUCACCAUGGCAAUGAUACGUAGCCGACCUGAGAGGGUAAUCGGCCACAUUGGGACUGAGACACGGCCCAAACUCCUACGGGAGGCAGCAGUAGGGAAUCUUCCACAAUGGACGAAAGUCUGAUGGAGCAACGCCGCGUGAGUGAAGAAGGGUUUCGGCUCGUAAAACUCUGUUGUUAAAGAAGAACAUAUCUGAGAGUAACUGUUCAGGUAUUGACGGUAUUUAACCAGAAAGCCACGGCUAACUACGUGCCAGCAGCCGCGGUAAUACGUAGGUGGCAAGCGUUGUCCGGAUUUAUUGGGCGUAAAGCGAGCGCAGGCGGUUUUUUAAGUCUGAUGUGAAAGCCUUCGGCUCAACCGAAGAAGUGCAUCGGAAACUGGGAAACUUGAGUGCAGAAGAGGACAGUGGAACUCCAUGUGUAGCGGUGAAAUGCGUAGAUAUAUGGAAGAACACCAGUGGCGAAGGCGGCUGUCUGGUCUGUAACUGACGCUGAGGCUCGAAAGUAUGGGUAGCAAACAGGAUUAGAUACCCUGGUAGUCCAUACCGUAAACGAUGAAUGCUAAGUGUUGGAGGGUUUCCGCCCUUCAGUGCUGCAGCUAACGCAUUAAGCAUUCCGCCUGGGGAGUACGGCCGCAAGGCUGAAACUCAAAGGAAUUGACGGGGGCCCGCACAAGCGGUGGAGCAUGUGGUUUAAUUCGAAGCUACGCGAAGAACCUUACCAGGUCUUGACAUACUAUGCAAAUCUAAGAGAUUAGACGUUCCCUUCGGGGACAUGGAUACAGGUGGUGCAUGGUUGUCGUCAGCUCGUGUCGUGAGAUGUUGGGUUAAGUCCCGCAACGAGCGCAACCCUUAUUAUCAGUUGCCAGCAUUAAGUUGGGCACUCUGGUGAGACUGCCGGUGACAAACCGGAGGAAGGUGGGGAUGACGUCAAAUCAUCAUGCCCCUUAUGACCUGGGCUACACACGUGCUACAAUGGAUGGUACAACGAGUUGCGAACUCGCGAGAGUAAGCUAAUCUCUUAAAGCCAUUCUCAGUUCGGAUUGUAGGCUGCAACUCGCCUACAUGAAGUCGGAAUCGCUAGUAAUCGCGGAUCAGCAUGCCGCGGUGAAUACGUUCCCGGGCCUUGUACACACCGCCCGUCACACCAUGAGAGUUUGUAACACCCAAAGUCGGUGGGGUAACC
rnacentral:rRNA from 2 species